rnacentral:rRNA from 1 species
AUUGAACGCUGGCGGCAGGCCUAACACAUGCAAGUCGAACGGUAACAGGAAGCAGCUUGCUGCUUUGCUGACGAGUGGCGGACGGGUGAGUAAUGUCUGGGAAACUGCCUGAUGGAGGGGGAUAACUACUGGAAACGGUAGCUAAUACCGCAUAACGUCGCAAGACCAAAGAGGGGGACCUUCGGGCCUCUUGCCAUCGGAUGUGCCCAGAUGGGAUUAGCUAGUAGGUGGGGUAACGGCUCACCUAGGCGACGAUCCCUAGCUGGUCUGAGAGGAUGACCGCCACACCGGAACCAGAGACACGACCAAGACUCCUCGGGAGGGCGGCGGGGGGAAAUUGUGAACAUGGGGCGCAGGCGUGAUGCAGCCUGGCGGGGUGAAUAAAGAGGGCUUUGGGGUUUAAAAGUACUUUCGGGGGGGAGGGGGGGAGAAAAGUUAAUCCCUUUGCUCAUUGACUUUACCCGAAGAAGAAGCACCGGCUAACUCCGU